rnacentral:lncRNA from 1 species
UAGCACCCUCGCUCUCCUCUUAGACAUCGAAGAUCCUGAACUCCCUCAUGAAACUCUGGAUAGAGAAACAACCCUUAAAGGGAUUGACGUAUGCCUCCACCUAGGAGAUUCACAAAUUACAUCCCUCUGAAUACUAUUUGAAUCCAGGUGCUUAUGGAGAUCAAGAAUCAGAUCCCAAGAGCGAUGAAGUUGCAGUCCAACCUCGAUC